rnacentral:misc_RNA from 1 species
CGCGCUGGGCGUCCCGGCGGCGCUGCGGGCCGCGCACACCGCCGGACACGCCGUCACGCUUAAACUGGCCACGUUCGGAGCCACGAACAUUGCUGACAGUACCGAUUACAGCAAAAUGCUUGUAAGAUUAAAAGAAACUCUCAAAAUGCGACUCCAUUGGACAUUACGACAGGAACAAAAGACGAUGCUCCACUUCUACAUUAACUACACAAUGAGAUAUAGCAACCUAUUCUCGGAGCUGGAACAACUCAAAAUUCAAUUUUCUAUAAUCGAAGACUAUUCCGUGACCGAAACUACUCUGGAGGAAGUGUUCCUGACCGUCACGAGUAAGAUGUACAAUGAUGGACCGUUGCCUGUUUAGAUAUAUUUGGUAUUAACCUUUUUUUAUUAAAUUCUAUGAGGUUAUAUGUAUGAUAUGUAACCUUUAUUUAUUUAAAAUUUUUUCAAGGUACAUAAAGCUUACAUAAUAUUUAAUAAAUAAAAAAACAAAAUGGAAGAAUAGAAAAAAAUAAAAGUAAAAAAGCAUAAUUACAAAAAAUAUAAUUGCUUCAUUCAAAUAUAAGACCAAAUACAGACGUUAUUCCAUUCUGCAUUGUUUAAGAGCCGCUCUCUAAGUCUUAUAUAUAUGUAUAUAUUAAACACUUCUUUUUAUUAUAUCUACAACCCUAUGGAAGAAAUCUCAUGAAAUUCAUAAAAACAUGGACAAAUGCAGACCAAAUGCUUAUAUACCGAGUUAGUGCAGACUAUGAGAUCUAUGAGAAUUUGUCCAUGUUUUUCUAAGGCUUAUGAGAUUUUUUUUCCAUAGCGAAAUAGGUAAAUCCAAUUAUAAUUAUGUAAUAAUAAAAUCGACAUACCAAGUGAUUAAUUCUAUGCAAAAAGUAUGGAGAUGAAAUCUCUUUACACUAUAUAAAGUUUUUGCACAAUAUAGUCAAUUUCUGUACCAAAGUUUAGUUUUAUAAAAAAUGGUGUUGUGUUUUCUGUUGUGAUAUUUAGUAAAAAAUUUAAAUAAAUUUACAAUUAUUUAAUAACUUAUUAAAAAGAUAGUUAUAAGUAAGAGGUAUUAAAUUAUACCACAUAUACUCCGUACUACUCCUAAGCACUAAGUUAGAUUGUAAACGUAUCUUAUGCCUAAGUGCUUAUUUUGAUGUAAGACUUAUUUAUUAAACGUGCGGGUGAAAGAUUAUUAAUAUAUUAAUAUACCUGCUUAUACCUGCCACUACCUGCCACCCAGUAGUCAUGCCAGGAAAA